GUGACAGCCGCCGCGGUAAUACAGAGGGUGCAAGCGUUGUUCGGAAUUACUGGGCGUAAAGCGCGUGUAGGCUGCGAUGUAAGUCAGGUGUGAAAGCCCUCAGCUUAACUGAGGAAGUGCACUUGAUACUGCGUCGCUUGAGUGUCGGAGGGGGUGGCGGAAUUCCCGGUGUAGAGGUGAAAUUCGUAGAUAUCGGGAGGAACACCUGUGGCGAAGGCGGCCACCUGGACGACAACUGACGCUGAGACGCGAAAGCGUGGGUAGCAAACAGGAUUAGAUACCCCGGUAGUCC
rnacentral:rRNA from 1 species